UACGAAGGGUGCAAGCGUUAAUCGGAAUUACUGGGCGUAAAGCGUGCGUAGGUGGUUUGUUAAGUCUGCUGUGAAAGCCCUGGGCUCAACCUGGGAAUGGCGGUGGAUACUGACAAGCUAGAGUGCGGUAGAGGAGGGUGGAAUUCCCGGUGUAGCGGUGAAAUGCGUAGAGAUCGGGAGGAACAUCAGUGGCGAAGGCGGCCCUCUGGACCAGCACUGACGCUGAGGCACGAAAGCGUGGGGAGCAAACAGG
rnacentral:rRNA from 1 species